rnacentral:rRNA from 1 species
UACAGAGGGUGCUAGCGUUGUUCGGAAUCAUUGGGCGUAAAGGGCGUGUAGGCGGUUUGUUAAGUCAUGUGUGAAAUCCCUCGGCUCAACCGUGGAGGGUCAUUGGAAACUGGGGAACUUGAGUGCAGGAGAGAAGAGUGGAAUUCCACGUGUAGCGGUGAAAUGCGUAGAGAUGUGGAGGAACACCAGUGGCGAAGGCGGCGAUCUGGGAAGAUACUGACGCUGAGGUGCGAAAGCGUGGGGAGCAAACAGG